rnacentral:lncRNA from 1 species
AUAGUUGCAUGCUUUUGGGAAUCCAAUGCUGAUAUUUUAGAAACUGGAAUUUGAGGUUCCCAUGCCAGUGUACCCAUUCAUGUGCUGCACUAUUUUGACAAGCUAUCAUGCUAAGGAUGUCAGUCUUUCUGAACAGAAGCUCUCUAUUAGUGUCUAAUUGCUGGCAUCUUUUAGUUGUAGAACUUGUUCAUGGCAUCAACAGCAGAAAGGCACGCAAUCACUUUCAGAAACAAGACAUUCGCAUCACAUCAUGCUUCCUUCAUUAGUCCCACAAGUCAUGGUUUCAAAUAGAGAUUUGCUCUUCACUGGCACAAUACCUAUGUGAAUUUCUUUUUGCAUCCUCUGACACCAAUGUGAAUGCUCAGGCAAUGGAGGCUGCUUUGGUUCUUUUUCUUUUUGAUCACAUAUCUGGUCCUUGAAUAUUUUGUUUGCUGAACUACAUUAUUUAAUAACAAAGUCGCAG